GCACACACACGCACCCUCCUUUCCUCCCUCUCCAUUUACAUUCCUCACUGCCCCCCAUACUUCACCCACCCCACACACCCCUCCUCACUCUUUUUAUUCUUGCUUUUCCCUUCGCCGGCCCCUCGUCUCUUCUUCUCUCUCUUCCUCUCGGUCCGCUCUUCCACACAUUCCCUCUUUCGCUUUUAGCCCUGCAGGCGGUUCUCUCUCUGUUAGCCAACGAUAACUUGUUCUAAAGGAGCUAACCGUCCUUCAGGUUCACUUAGAUACUUUGUUUUUUUCCUUGGUUUUAAAUCAGCUAUGGACGGACAGUCGCAGGAUUUACUGUAUCUUCUCCUUUUGGGAAUACUUUCAUGGAUCUUUCGGGAUGGGAAUAUUGAUCCCAGAGAUACAGUUCUGCUUGUUUCUUCCACUUUGUGGGAUGACUGAUGCAUCUGAUGAGCGCUCAGUUUAACCUUUUAAAAGCAAACUGCAAAACUCUUGCCAUCUCUUUUUUGCCACAUCUCCUCUCCUGCUGUCCCUCGUUUCCCCUCUUUCACACUCAACAGAUUGUCUCAACAACCAAGAUUUAUCGCAUGGAGACAUUGCGCUGCGUCCUCCCUCUCUUUUCCCCCUGCUCUCGCGCGCAGACGGAGAGCCUGGCCCCUUUUCAUUAGAGGCCACUGUAACAACAAAUUGAUGUAGUUUUAUAGCUAGCAGUGUCUAUGUUUGUCUGACAUUUAUGUUGGGU